GUUUGUAUCCAGUGAUGUUUAUCUGCUCAUGGAAUGAUACUAUUGGCAGAAUGGAUUCUGUCUCCCAUUUGUAGUCCCUUGCAUGUUUUCCAUAUAUUUUCUGAGCACAUCUUAGAGGUACACUGGGAACUGCUUUGGGGAGAAGCGUAUGAAGCAGAAAUCCCAUUACCUUAGUGGAUGGUGCACUUGAGUGACAUUGGGCCGCUGCUGGAAAAAAUACAGCUGACUAUUAUGAGCUGAUUAAAUUUAUAUGCCUAUCCAGGUGCUUAGAAAGUCUGCCCUUGUCAUUUUACAAACUGCUUCUGAUUUUUGGGAGAAACAGCAAAGUGAGUCAAGGCCCUGGAUGCCAGAUCUCCAGAUUAGCUUCCCCACUGGCUGAGGCAGACUUCUUUUAAUUUAUUCAGUUCCACGCCAUUUGUCUCUCACACAGAUAGAUGUCAGUUUUUCUCUGCAUUACAGAGGAACAACUUUACAGUCAUGCUUCUUGAUGGAUUGGUGUCACUUGAAAGGUUACAUGUGGAAAGUUAACAUGUGUAUCUUUAGCUUCUCAUUUUGUUUUUGUUAUGCAUUUGAGAACACGUUCAUCUCUGUCAGUCUGCCUUUCCUCCCUGCCAUAUAUUUUCAGCUUAUCCUGUCUUGUUUGAAGGGAACUUGUAGAGUAGCAAAGCUGAAGAAAAGAAUUCAAUUAGUAGACAAAUACGGUUGAAAGAAACACAUAAACUGAAGAAUUUAAGGAUCUGGAACCAGUUUGAGCUCAAUGGCUUUUCUUGCAGCUUCAUCUUUUUACCCUAACUCACAUGCAGUAAAUUAAUUGGAUGAGGAGGUAGCUCAAGCGGAUUUUCACCAUGGCAUCCAAAGUGCUUGGAAAAAGAAGGCAAACGAGACAUGUGAAAUGUUCUAGGGAGAUGUUACUAUGAGCCUAGCAGGAAUUCCAUCAGGAGUGGUGUUUUAUUUCUGAGUGAACAAGGAAGCAACUGAUUGCCAGGUUUUAGAUACGCAUAAAACUAACCAGAAAUGACAAAUGGAAGUGGAAGAUCUUGUUUUGUGUGCUAAUUUUUCAGCAACUAAGAGAAAUAAGACAGAUUCUGAAUGGAAGAAGGAAUCAGCACAAAGCGAAGAACAUGACAUAAAGAGUGCAUAGUCCACAUAACAUGCCUAUUACAUCAUCAAGUUUGAGAUACAACUUUACAAACCAUUCAGUGGCAGCAGCUGAGCAACUAAAUGCUAUGGCAGUCAUACAAACUUACCAACA